AGGACGAACGCUGGCGGCGUGCUUAACACAUGCAAGUCGAGCGGAAAGGCCCUUCGGGGUACUCGAGCGGCGAACGGGUGAGUAACACGUGAGUAAUCUGCCCCUAGCUCUGGGAUAGCUCCGGGAAAACCGGGAUUAAUACCAGAUACGACCACUUUAGACAUCUGUUGUGGUGGAAAGAAUUUCGGCUAGGGAUGAGCUCGCGGCCUAUCAGCUUGUUGGUGAGGUAACGGCUCACCAAGGCGACGACGGGUAGCCGGCCUGAGAGGGCGACCGGCCACACUGGGACUGAGACACGGCCCAGACUCCUACGGGAGGCAGCAGUGGGGAAUAUUGCGCAAUGGGCGAAAGCCUGACGCAGCGACGCCGCGUGGGGGAUGAAGGCCUUCGGGUUGUAAACCCCUUUCAGCAGGGACGAAGCGAAAGUGACGGUACCUGCAGAAGAAGCGCCGGCUAACUACGUGCCAGCAGCCGC
rnacentral:rRNA from 1 species